GAUUUGUGCUUAUAGAUACAGCCUGUCCCAAAAAGAUGUACUCACUCUUUGACUUCCCAGUACUCAUGCAUUUUGUGUUCAAGUAGAUGUUUAUUGAUAUACAUACAAUCCCAAAAAGUUAAAUUAAAUUCAGGAAAAUAAAUUGUUGUAGAAACGAUUAUUUAUUGUCAUUUAGAAUAAUUUAAUGUUCUU